UAUAUGCCUUUAAUACAUAAGUAUGCAAGGGAAACGCUUUAGUGCUUAAGGAUGGGUCUGUAUGGUAUCAGCUUGUUGGUGAGGUAAUGGCUCACCAAGGCUAUGACGCCUAACUGGUUUGAGAGGAUGAUCAGUCACACUGGAACUGAGACACGGUCCAGACUCCUACGGGAGGCAGCAGUGGGGAAUAUUGCACAAUGGACGAAAGUCUGAUGCAGCAACGCCGCGUGGAGGAUGACACAUUUCGGUGCGUAAACUCCUUUUAUAUAGGAAGAUAAUGACGGUACUAUAUGAAUAAGCACCGGCUAACUCCGUG
rnacentral:rRNA from 1 species